rnacentral:rRNA from 2 species
GACAGAGGUUGCAAACGUUGUUCGGAAUCACUGGGCAUAAAGCGCACGUAGGCGGUCUGUUAAGUCAGAUGUGAAAGCCCCCGGCUCAACCGGGGAACUGCAUUUGAUACUGGCAGGCUCGAGAACGGUAGGGGUGAGUGGAACUCCAGGUGGAGCGGUGAAAUGCGUAGAUAUCUGGAGGAACACCGGUGGCGAAAGCGGCUCACUGGACCGUCACUGACGCUGAGGUGCGAAAGCUAGGGUAGCAAACGGG